rnacentral:rRNA from 1 species
GGGGAGGCCUAUACUGCAGUCGAGCGAGCUUGCCUAGAUGAUUUUAGUGCUUGCACUAAAUGAAACUAGAUACAAGCGAGCGGCGGACGGGUGAGUAACACGUGGGUAACCUGCCCAAGAGACUGGGAUAACACCUGGAAACAGAUGCUAAUACCGGAUAACAACACUAGACGCAUGUCUAGAGUUUGAAAGAUGGUUCUGCUAUCACUCUUGGAUGGACCUGCGGUGCAUUAGCUAGUUGGUAAGGUAACGGCUUACCAAGGCAAUGAUGCAUAGCCGAGUUGAGAGACUGAUCGGCCACAUUGGGACUGAGACACGGCCCAAACUCCUACGGGAGGCAGCAGUAGGGAAUCUUCCACAAUGGACGAAAGUCUGAUGGAGCAACGCCGCGUGAGUGAAGAAGGGUUUCGGCUCGUAAAGCUCUGUUGGUAGUGAAGAAAGAUAGAGGUAGUAACUGGCCUUUAUUUGACGGUAAUUACUUAGAAAGUCACGGCUAACUACGUGCCAGCAGCCGCGGUAAUACGUAGGUGGCAAGCGUUGUCCGGAUUUAUUGGGCGUAAAGCGAGUGCAGGCGGUCCAAUAAGUCUGAUGUGAAAGCCUUCGGCUCAACCGGAGAAUUGCAUCAGAAACUGUUGAACUUGAGUGCAGAAGAGGAGAGUGGAACUCCAUGUGUAGCGGUGGAAUGCGUAGAUAUAUGGAAGAACACCAGUGGCGAAGGCGGCUCUCUGGUCUGCAACUGACGCUGAGGCU